AGGAGAGUUUGAUCCUGGCUCAUAACGAACGCUGGCGGCGUGCUUAACACAUGCAAGUCGAACGGAGUUUAUAUGAAACCUACUGAUUUUAAGCUUAUUGGCGGACGGGUGAGUAACGCGUGGGUAACCUGCCUUAUACCGGGGGACAACAGUUAGAAAUGACUGCUAAUACCGCAUAAGCGCACGAAGUCGCAUGACUUAGUGUGAAAAACUCCGGUGGUAUAAGAUGGACCCGCGUCUGAUUAGCCAGUUGGUGAGGUAACGGCCCACCAAAGCAACGAUCAGUAGCCGGCCUGAGAGGGUGAACGGCCACAUUGGGAUUGAGACACGGCCCAAACUCCUACGGGAGGCAGCAGUGGGGAAUAUUGGACAAUGGGGGAAACCCUGAUCCAGCGACGCCGCGUGAGUGAAGAAGUAUUUCGGUAUGUAAAGCUCUAUCAGCAAGGAAGAUAAUGACGGUACUUGACUAAGAAGCCCCGGCUAACUACGUGCCAGCAGCCGCGGUAAUACGUAGGGGGCAAGCGUUAUCCGGAUUUACUGGGUGUAAAGGGAGCGUAGACGGUUUGGCAAGUCUGAUGUGAAAGCCCGGGGCUCAACCGCGGGACUGCAUUGGAAACUGUCAGACUUGAGUGCAGGAGAGGUAAGUGGAAUUCCUAGUGUAGCGGUGAAAUGCGUAGAUAUUAGGAGGAACACCGGUGGUGAAGGCGGCUUACUGGACUGUAACUGACGUUGAGGCUUGAAAGCGUGGGGAGCAAACAGGAUUAGAUACCAUGGUAGUCCCCU
rnacentral:rRNA from 1 species